rnacentral:rRNA from 1 species
AUUGAACGCUGGCGGCAUGCCUAACACAUGCAAGUCGAGCGGAUGAAGGGAGCUUGCUCCUGGAUUCAGCGGCGGACGGGUGAGUAAUGCCUAGGAAUCUGCCUGGUAGUGGGGGAUAACGUCCGGAAACGGGCGCUAAUACCGCAUACGACCUUAUUGAGAAAGUGGAGGAUCUUCGGACCUCACGCUAUCAGAUGAGCCUAGGUUGGAUUAGCUAGGUGGUGGGGUAAAGGCCUACCAAGGCGACUAUCCGUAACUGGUCUGAGAGGAUGAUCAGUCACACUGGAACUGAGACACGGUCCAGACUCCUACGGGAGGCAGCAGUGGGGAAUAUUGGACAAUGGGCGAAAGCCUGAUCCAGCAAUGCCGCGUGUGUGAAGAAGGUCUUCGGAUUGUAAAGCACUUUAAGUUGGGAGGAAGGGAAGUAAGUUAAUCCCUUGCUGUUUUGACGUUACCAACAGAAUAAGCACCGGCUAACUUCGUG